ACCAGGAUGGCUGAGAGGUUAAGGCGUUGGACUUAGGAUCCAAUGGAUUUGUAUCCGCGUGGGUUUGCACCCCACUCCUGGUA